CAACAGAAUGGGUUAGCAGAGAGAGAAAAUAGACACAUUGUUGAAACUGAUGUGACCUUGCUUCAUAAUGCUCAUUUGCCAUUUAGUUUUUGGUAUCAUGCAUGUGCAAUCACUACUACAAAAACCACAUAUAAGGACACCUUUUUUUCACUGAGUCCUAAUAAGCUUAAGAGUUAAGAGGACGAGUUAAAAAAAACAGGAGCAAUAGUUUGCUCGUCCCGCCUAAUUUUUUUUGUCAAAAGUUGAACUUCCCACCUUUUUUUUCCAACACAUAUUGGCACUUUUGGCCUCUAUUUUUCAGUUGACCCCUCGCUCUCUCUGUGCAUCUCUUCCUCGUUGAACACAUUGGAGCUCUGAGCGAAACAGAUCUCACCACAGAUGGGUAACUCUCUCUUCUUCCCGAUCUGUCUAUACCCUUUUCUUUUUGCCAUAUCUAUAUGCUCUAUGCAAAUCAUAAUGUGAUGGUGGCUUUCUCCUAUAUGCUCUUCCCGUUGUCUCUCCCCAAACCUCCAACCAAGCCGCUGUCCCUAGACGCCUCCGACCCCCUCCACAAUGCCAUUGACGUGAACGACGAGUUGUGCGUCGCGCAUGCGAUUAGGAACCUCUGCCAAGGCCCUUCAUCAAUGGUGGAGCCUUUGGUAUGCUCGCUACCUGCGUCAUCCAACCCAUCGAUACGAUCAAGUGCUGAGAAGGCUGGGAGUGAAGGGCGUGGAGACCCAGAACCAAGUCAGUUUUGUUUCCAGAGGUUGCUCUUUGUGCGGCUAUUGUAGCUAAUCUCAACACGAAGAGUUGUAUACUUUGCAUGAUUGAUCAUUAUACAAGUCCAGAUUACUAAAAGACCAAAUUCUCAGAUAAAAAGUUAUAUUUAGUUUGUGGAUCUGCCUGAUUGUGAAAUUGAUGGAGGGUGCGAUUAGGUGCUCCACCAACUAUGUUCCUCUUUCUCCGAUCAGCUUCCUGGAGCGCUCAGCCAUAGUCUACAGAGACAGACCCUCUAUUAUGUAUGGAGACAUCGUCUACACUUGGAGACAGACACUUGAAUGAUGCACCAGACUUGCUUCUGCUCUUGCCCAACUUGGAAUUUCUCGAGGCUAUGUGAAUGCAUUUGGCUCGCCUUCUACUUUUGGGUUCCAAGAUGGCAGCUAAGAAUCCGAAAAAAGGAAUAAAAUGGUUCUUAGAGCUGCUGCUGAGAAGGUUAAUGAGAGAAAAUCUGAAUGUGGUCAUGCCAAGUCAAAGAGGUUGAAAACAAAGCAGCAAUAUCUUGAUGCCUCUUCUAGAAUACAGACUAUGGUCCCGCAUAAGCAACCACUCUCUCUAAGGUACUUGCAAAAGCACAGCUUUGACUCUAUGUUUAUUCUGAAGGCAUUCACUUACAAACACUGUUCUAAAAGUUCAUCAAGUGAUAACAUCUACAGCCAAUCCAAGCAGCACAACAUGGUUUUUCUAUCUGAACCCUUCACUGUCAAGAAAUCAAAUAUACUGUAAACAAUUAGAAUGCUAGUGUAGUCUAUCCCAAAUACUCAAUAUCUUGAAUUAUCCUCAUUUCUAAUCGAGUAUAGCAGGAAGAUUUGAGAUUGUAUUGAACUGAAUAUUGCUAGUUUGAAGAUCGUUUUGGUUGGCAAAGUCAUAUGUAUUGUGAUAUGGACUUGAAUUGGAGUAUAUAUCAUACUUUUAAUAUAUUUUUUUUUUACAA